rnacentral:rRNA from 1 species
CGCAUCUGUGCAUGCAGCAUAUCAAUAAGCGGAGGAAAAGAAACUAACAAGGAUUCCCUCAGUAACGGCGAGUGAAGCGGGAAGAGCUCAAAUUUGAAAUCUUGAAAGGUCACCUUUCACGAAUUGUAGUUUAAAGAAGUGUUUUCUGUUACGAUCGUAAUAUAAGUUCUUUGGAAUAGGACAUCACAGAGGGUGAGAAUCCCGUCCUAUGAUUGCGAUUUGUAGCUUUGUGAUACACUUUCAAAGAGUCGGGUUGUUUGGGAAUGCAGCCCAAAACGGGAGGUAAAUUUCUUCUAAGGCUAAAUAUUGGCGAGAGACCGAUAGCGAACAAGUACCGUGAGGGAAAGAUGAAAAGAACUUUGAAAAGAGAGUUAAAUAGUACGUGAAAUUGUCAAAAGGGAAGCGUUUAACACCAGUGUUGUUUUCUGAAAAUCAACCUCUGUUAGCUUUAUGCAUGUUUGUUUAGACCUAAUCAGCUAUCUUGCAUGUUCUAUUGUUUGCAGUGGUGCACUUUUCAGUCUACAGGUCAACAUCAGUUUUUUUUACCGUAAAAAAGUUAAAGAAAGGUAGCUCAUGGCUCCGGUCGUGAGUGUUAUAGUCUUUUUCCUAUGCGGUAGGAGAGACUGAGGUCUGCAGUGUAGGCUAUUUGGCUAGAUACUCAGGUGCUAUGUGAUAACCAUUUCAUAAACAACUUGUUGAUUAUGUUUUGUCUAUUGCAUACUCGCUUGUACUAUCAUACCUACGCUUAGGAUGUUGACGAUCAGCUGAGCGCG